UACGGAAGGCAGCAGUGGGGAAUAUUGCACAAUGGGCGCAAGCCUGAUGCAGCCAUGCCGCGUGUAUGAAAAAGGCCUUCGGGUUGUAAAGUACUUUCAGUCGUGAGGAAGGUGUUAAGGUUAAUAACCUUAGCAAUUGACGUUAGCGACAGAAGAAGCACCGGCUAACUCCGUGCCAGCAGCCGCGGUAAUACGGAGGGUGCGAGCGUUAAUCGGAAUUACUGGGCGUAAAGGGCACGCAGGCGGUUAAUUAAGUUGGAUGUGAAAUCCCCGGGCUUAACCUGGGAAUGGCAUUCAAGCUGGUUAGCUAGAGUCUUGUAGAGGGGGUAGAAUUCCAUGUGUAGCGGUGAAAUGCGUAGAGAUGUGGAGGAAUACCGGUGGCGAAGGCGGCCCCUGGGACAAAGGACUGACGCUCAUGUGCGAAAGCGUGGGGAGCGAAAC
rnacentral:rRNA from 1 species